GCCCAUGACUCCACAACUCUAACCAUUUCAGUUGAGAAUAUAUUCUUAUAUGAUGUACGGAACAGAUGCUCUCAAACAAAAAAAAAUAAAAAAUCUUAUUCUACAAAAUACUUUUAAGGGAUUGUCAUUCUGCUCUUCAUAUAGCAGCUCAAUUCAAGAUUACUUGUAUGCUUUUGGAGAAUCGAUCAGCCAAUCCAGAUUGUUUGAAUCGUCAUACAAGUGUGUUCAGUUUUAUCGUCGUAUGUGCUCUAACCAGCCUCCCGCUACCAUUCUCCGACCACCCACCAGAGUUUGUCAAUGAUUACACAACGACAACCCAUCGGCAUGAAACCUACAAUCACCGCCGUUGAAUACUUUUUCCCAAUUUGUGGUUACUCUCCAAUCAGUAACUCUUUCAUCUCUGCAAGAUUGGAAGAUCUAGGGUUAUGAAUUGAAGACGAAUAAUUGAAGGAGACGUGUGUGCUAAGAGAUCGAUUAGGUCUCUUUUUAGGCGAUAUGGGGCUUUACCCAGAUUGUCAUACUCACUCAUCAUUGUGAUUCCAAUCGCUUCAUCCACAGCUUUAUAGGUUGAAAUUUAUUAGGAAACUAAACUGAUAAAAUCCCAGUGCCAAAGGUGAUUAUAAAUCAGGACUCAGAUCUAGAUCAUGAUGCAAGUGUGAUGGGAUCACUUACAAAUCUUGGAAUGAAUGUUGUCAACGCAAAUGAUCAUCUGAAUUCUUCCGGGAAUCACACCAUAUUUUCAACAACUGAAGCCAUUAUUUAGAUCAUAGACAUGAUGCAGCAAGAGCAGAAAAUUCAUUUACACUUAUUUUUAGGAGUGAAUUAAUCGGUGUGCAAAUAUGCAAAAAAGGUAUAUAGGUUUUUUCUACUGUUAUUUCUUGAAUUCCUUUAGUUAAAGGAAUUUGAAGGAAUUCAUGCCUAAUUCCAAUUUCAAUUCCAUUGUCAACCAAACACAUGAAGAUUGGAAAUGGGAUUCCAAUUCCCUAAUAUGAUUUGUGAACCUGACAUCUUAAGAGAUGGAAUUUAAAUUCCAAUUCCCUUAAAUUCCAUUGAAUUUCAGCGAACCAAACGCCCCCUAAGUUUUUUUUUUUUUUUUUUUUUGUAUUUUAUUUGUUUUCUUAAGUUGCGUUUUUAUAUUAAACAUAACUAAACGUACUUUGUAUAUUAACAAAAAAGAAUGUUGUGAAUGUCA